AGAAGAAAAAAGUUGAAUGGAUGGAUAAGAAAACAACGCAUGGUGCAGACACGUGGAGGACCUGUGCUUGGGAAUACGCCACCUCAGCACCAACCACUUUUUGUCCUUUCCUCUCUUUCUUUCUCUCUUCGUUAAUUGUGGCUAUAAUCAUUAAUCCCUAAUUUUCUAUCGUUACUGAUCGCGUUGUGUUGGCGUAGCUUCGGGUGACCGAGAGGAGAAAUAAGCCUAAAAAUGGGUUAUUUUGUGGUGGUUUCAUUGCCUGUCAUACUGUUCAUCAUCAUCGUAGCGCUUGCGUUUUACCUUCUUGGUAGGGCCCGGGGUCGAAGCGAAGCAGGCAGAGUUCCGCAGUAUUAUGGGCCCCCAGCGCCUCCAUUCCAAGCCCACUCUCCGGCCACGGAUAAAUCAUAGCAGAUCUACACUCGUUCUUGGGUAUUUGUGUGAAAAUGCAAAUAGGAACUAUGUUAUGAAAAUGGAGCAGAUAUUAAUAUUAGAAUAUAUAAUAUGAUGGGAUAUUUUCUUUACGUUAGAAUAUAUGUAAUUAAUGGUAAUCAUAUUCCAUAUUUAUUUUUAUUUU